rnacentral:lncRNA from 1 species
UCAGCCAAACCGAAGCUUGAAAAACAGCUCCAAGAGGAAUGGGCUUCCUCGGCAACAGCCACCACGCAUGCAGAAGGUCCAUCAAAUGUACCUUGGCAGCGGAACACAGGGCUCUGCGGGCAGGGACCUCACUGUUCUCCAGCACCCUGCUCACAGGGUUUAUGGAGUAGACACUCAGGAGCCAGGUCAGGCAGGCUGCUGUCUUCAGAGGCUCAGGCACAGAGAGAGCCAUCCCAGUGCCUGAAAGAGCCAGCUCCAUCUCUUGCAACAUCAAGGCCCAGAACUCCCCGUGUUGAGCUCCAGCCCUCCAAACUAACUGUCCACCGAACAGCUCUCCUGGGACGUUCCUGUUGUGCCUCAAAUUCAACGCACCAGAACUGUAUUCCUUGGUCCACCUCUGUGGCAGCUAUGGAUUGGCUUAUUGCCAUCCAGCAUCUGUUUGCCCCGGGACUGAAGAGGUAUAGGUGUGAUGAGGAACUGUACCUCUCAGUUGGACCCUGUAUACUGAAGUGUCCCCCGCCAGACUCUUUCCUGGUAGAUUUGAAACUAAGGGGCCACAAAGACAACAUCCUGCCCACGCUGAGGCUGAAAUACCCUGUGCACUUGCACUGUACAUGCAUGAAGCUCUCCCCAUCCUAAUAAAAAAGAGACAAGUCAGGCCCUAUUAUUCUCCAAUCUGAAACUG